AAAGGUAUAGCUCAGGGUCAGAGUGCAUGCCUAGCAUGCAGAAGGUCCUGGGUUCAAUCCCCAGUACCUCCA
rnacentral:tRNA from 1 species